UACGUAGGGUGCUAGCGUUGUUCGGAAUUACUGGGCGUAAAGCGCGCGCAGGCGGCUAUCCAAGUCAGUGGUGAAAGCCCGGAGCUCAACUCCGGAACUGCCAUUGAAACUGUUUAGCUUGAGGACGAGAGAGGUGAGUGGAAUUCCCAGUGUAGAGGUGAAAUUCGUAGAUAUCGAGAGGAACACCAGAGGUGAAGACGGGUUGCUGGGCUGACACUGACGCUGAGGCGCGAAAGCCAGGGGAGCAAACGGG
rnacentral:rRNA from 1 species